UACGUAGGGUGCGAGCGUUGUCCGGAAUUAUUGGGCGUAAAGGGCUCGUAGGCGGUCUGUCACGUCGGGAGUGAAAACACGGGGCUUAACCCCGUGCCUGCUUCCGAUACGGGCAGACUAGAGGUAUGCAGGGGAGAACGGAAUUCCUGGUGUAGCGGUGAAACGCGUAGAUAUCGGGAGGAACACCUGUGGUGUAGACGGCUAUCUGGACGGCGACUGACGCUGAGACACGAAAGCGUGGGUAGCAAACAGG
rnacentral:rRNA from 1 species